rnacentral:rRNA from 1 species
CAGUCGCCACGGGAAAACGAAGGGGGCUAGCGUUGCUCGGAAUGACUGGGCGUAAAGGGCGCGUAGGCGGUUUUGACAGUCAGAUGUGAAUUUCCUGGGCUUAACCUGGGGGCUGCAUUUGAGACGUCAAGACUAGAGUGUGAGAGAGGGUUGUGGAAUUCCCAGUGUAGAGGUGAAAUUCGUAGAUAUUCGGAGGAACACCAGUGGCGAAGGCGGCUCACUGGUCCAUUACUGACGCUGAGGUGCGAAAGCGUGGGGAGCAAACAGGAUUAGAUACCCCCGUAGUCCCUGUCUCUUAUAA